rnacentral:lncRNA from 1 species
ACGAAAUUACGUCGAAACAUCGGUUUACGACGAAUUUACAAGGCCCACAUUUACGACGAAGUUACCAGGCACGCGUUUUUCCAUUUACGACGAAAUUACGUGGAAACAUCGGUUUACGACGAUUUUACAACGUUUAACCCUAAACACCGAGAAUGAAAUCCCUAAACCCCAAAGUCUCUUCUUCUCUACUACUUUAUGCUCUUUCUCCAACUUAAACUCUAAAAC